UUUGGGCGGCUGACCUUUGUUUUACUGUUAGAUGAUUACGUUAUGUACUAUCACUUUUGCUAGGCAUGUGACUAUGGGGCAAGAGAAAAAAAAUUGUAUCUUGUAUGCAUGUCUGACUGUGCUGUAAAAACCUAUACAAAGGGAGGGCGGUUCCCUUACAGAGAGCAUCGCUUGACACGGCUCCGCAAGCCCUGUGAAGAUUGUUAAGUGAUCCUCCAAAGCUUGUACUUGCUUAAAUAAACUGUGACUAUUCACAGAAGUUGGCGUAUUGCAUUUGUAUCAAGUGCGUAGGAAUCUCCUAAAAGGGAACUCAACAUUUGGUGGCAGUGGUGGGAUUCCAACAUAUACGGAACUUCUAGACAGACUGAAUAAGUGAUCGUCUGUGUGAUGGUGACGUGAGACAGAUGGGCCCACAAGGUAAGAUUUACCUUGAUCUCUCUCAUUAACCUAUCACUCAGUCGACCCCUCGUCCCCUAGAACUCUGUAGUGACGGAAUCUCUGAGAUAACCUAUGCACUUGUAUGCUGAGGAGUUCGUCUCAGGGAGGUUAGAGUGCCCCUGGAAUUCGGGGGUUAGAGUCUUCCUAACUGUAAGUACCGGGAAUUCGGGGGUUAGAGUCCUCCUAACUGUAAGUACCCGGAAUUCGGGGGUUAGAGUCCUCCCAACUGUGAGUGUCGGGAAUUCGGAGGUUAGAGUCCUCCAAUACCGGGGUUCGAGUCCCUGGAACAUAGUACCUAAGGUAAAGCACACCUUCGGACCACCAUCACAAGCGACGGAUCAGAGCUCAGACGACCUGAAUGAACCCCCCAGACUACAAACGGGAGACCUCGUGCUGAUCAAAGACUGGGAUCGCCCCAAGCUCAGACCCAGGUGGAAAGGACCAUUCCAAAUACUUCUCCAGACUCCGACUGCGCUUAAAGUCAAAGGGCAGAAUCGCUGGAUCCACCUAAGCGACUGUAAACGAUGGGUUCCCUCACCAUCUUGAAAAUAAUCAUUGGACUAAGUAUUGUUCAGACUGUGAGUGGGUUGGAGGACAAUUUGUUUUAUAAGACACAUAUCCUACUGCAUGGUAACCAAACAGUGUGUUAUCCGCUAGCACAAUCUGUAGAAGCUUUAUUUGUAGCAACCCCAGGAUGGAACCCUCACCAACUCUAUGAAGUAGAUUAUUCUGGUGAGCCUUGCCAAGGGAAGAGAGGAACCUGAAGCAGGGGUGUGCAGGGUAAAUGUGUAGAAUUGAUGGGUAACGGCCGCUCCAAUUGUCCAGGUACUAAACCCAAGUCUGGGAAGGAAGGGGCCAACUGUACGGAUCCUAACAGCUAUCCGCUUUGUUUUAAUGGUACUGGAAGUUGUUGUGUAUAUGCCUUAGUAAACGUCACCAACCAUCCCCAUGAUGCUUCCUGGCCCCAUCAGUGUGUAAAACAGACUUGUACAACUAAAGGAGGGCUAUUGAACUGCCCCUGUUUGGAAUCAAAACCGGUAAAUAUGACUUCUGGCAUACAUUGGACUUGUGGGAGUUGUAAUGGCACCCAUGUAGAAACGGGGUAUGGGACGUUUCUGUUUCACUCCUCGGACUUCCAACCAUUUAAGGGUCAAUCCUCCUGGAAUAGUUACAAGAUAGUCCGUGAGUCCGUUACCUGCUACCGUGCUAAGAAGGGAUUCGUUUUCCUUCUCAAUGGGACCUUUUCUACUGCUACUCCAACUUUGCCGGUGCUGUUUGCUGUUGGGACCAUUGGGCCUCUCACAGUCCCUUGUCCCCAACGAGCAUAUACUCGAUGACGAAUUGUCACAUGCUUCAUAAGCAAGGAGUUUUGCGCCGAGUGGCAGGAUCCAGUAACCCUGGGCUCUUCCUUGGGACAUGGCUUCCUGGGAACUGUCACUUUGGGAGGCUCCUCAGGGGUGGUGUCUGCUAAAAACCAAAACUACUUUAUAUGUGGACUUACCGCCCUGGGAAAUAGCACAAUGUUGGCAUUGGAAGCAGUAAAUCAAGAAUUAGCCGAACUUCGGCUCUAUGCUCAGCAAACCCGGUAUGCAGUGGACUAUCAGCUGGCUCAACAAGGGGGAAUUUGUACAACAGUAGGAGACAGAUGCAUCACCCAUGUUACGGACGAAUCAUACAACAUAACCCACGCCAUCCAAUCUAUUAAGAAACAAUUGGAUGAUUUCAGACAAGGUCCUAAGAAAGGAGAUGACUGGCUAGGGUGGCUACUGGGAGGAUCCUGGGGAUCCUAUCUACUGCAUGGGCUAGUAAUUCUUGUUGUUAUAAUCAUUGUAUGUUGUGUGUUAAUAACUUGCUUAAAUACUGGCUGUAAGAUUCUUAUGAGUAAGCUGGCGGCGCCUUUCUCAGCCCCCAUUUAGUUGGUUAUCAUGGAACGAUAAAAGGAGGGAAUGAAAUGUUAAAGAGUUAAUAUCUGUUCUGCUGACAUGUAAGAAAUUAGGUGCAUCAUGGGCGCCCCUGUCUCGCAGACAAAAUGCGGUAAUCUAAUUAUACUCUGCUCUCUGUAAAUGUUGAACUAAGGCUAACAAGAUCUCGCAGACAAAAGGUGGUAAUCUAAUUAUACUCUGCUCUCUGUAAAUGUUGAAUUAAGGCUAAAAGGAUAAGGAACUAUCUAGUCCUACACAUUGUUUUGGGGCAGCUGACCUUUGUUUCACUGUUAGCUGAUUACGUUAUGUACUAUCACUUUUGCUAGGCAUGUGACUAUGGGGGAAGAGAAAAAAAAUUGUAUCUUGUAUGCAUGUCAGACUGUGCUGUAAAAACCUAUACAAAGGGAGGGCGGUUCCCUUACAGAGAGCAUCGCUUGACACGGCUCCGCAAGCCCUGUGAAGAUUGUUAAGUGAUCCUCCAAAGCUUGUACUUGCUUAAAUAAACUGUGGCUAUUCACAGAA